UACGGAGGGUGCAAGCGUUGUCCGGAAUCACUGGGCGUAUAGGGCGCGUAGGCGGCUCAUGAAGGCUGUGGUGAAAGUCCGGGGCUCAACCCCGAGUCGGCCGUGCGAACUGGUGGGCUGGAGCACUGUAGAGGCAGGCGGAAUUCCGGGUGUAGCGGUGGAAUGCGUAGAGAUCCGGAAGAACACCGGUGGCGAAGGCGGCCUGCUGGGCAGUUGCUGACACUGAGGCGCGACAGCGUGGGGAGCAAACAGG
rnacentral:rRNA from 1 species